CGCGUAGGCGGGCUCUUAAGUCAGGGGUGAAAUCCUGUGGCUCAACCACAGAACUGCCCCUGAUACUGGGAGCCUCGAGUUCGAGAGAGGUUGGUGGAACUGCGAGUGUAGAGGUGAAAUUCGUAGAUAUUCGCAAGAACACCAGUGGCGAAGGCGGCCAACUGGCUCGAUACUGACGCUGAGGCGCGAAAGCGUGGGGAGCAAACA
rnacentral:rRNA from 1 species